UAACACGUAAACAACCUGCCUUCAGGAUGGGGACAACAGACGGAAACGACUGCUAAUACCGAAUGUGUUCCGGAGACCGCAUGAUUUCCGGAAGAAAGGAUGGCCUCUAUUUAUAAGCUAUCGCCUGAAGAGGGGUUUGCGUCUGAUUAGGCAGUUGGUGAGGUAACGGCCCACCAAACCUACGAUCAGUAGCCGGUCUGAGAGGAUGAACGGCCACACUGGAACUGAGACACGGUCCAGACUCCUACGGGAGGCAGCAGUGGGGAAUCUUCCGCAAUGGACGAAAGUCUGACGGAGCAACGCCGCGUGAGUGAUGACGGCCUUCGGGUUGUAAAGCUCUGUGAUCGGGGACGAAUGGCUGGUAUGCUAAUACCAUAUCAGAGUGACGGUACCCGAAUAGCAAGCCACGGCUAACUACGUGCCAGCAGCCGCGGUAAUACGUAGGUGGCAAGCGUUGUCCGGAAUUAUUGGGCGUAAAGCGCGCGCAGGCGGCUUCUUAAGUCCAUCUUAAAGUGCGGGGCUUAACCCCGUGAUGGGAUGGAAACUGGGAGGCUGGAGUAUCGGAGAGGAAAGUGGAAUUCCUAGUGUAGCGGUGAAAUGCGUAGAGAUUAGGAAGAACACCGGUGGCGAAGGCGACUUUCUGGACGACAACUGACGCUGAGGCGCGAAAGCGUGGGGAGCAAACAGGAUUAGAUACCCUGGUAGU
rnacentral:rRNA from 1 species